UACGUAGGGGGCUAGCGUUGUCCGGAAUCAUUGGGCGUAAAGCGCGUGUAGGCGGUCCGGUAAGUCCGCUGUGAAAGUCGGGGGCUCAACCCUCGGAUGCCGGUGGAUACUGUCGGGCUUGAGUACGGAAGAGGCGAGUGGAAUUCCGUGGUGUAGCGGUGAAAUGCGCAGAUAUCAGGAGGAACACCGGUGGUGUAGACGGCUUACUGGACCAUAACUGACGCUGAGACACGAAAGCGUGGGUAGCAAACAGG
rnacentral:rRNA from 1 species